CCACGCUGUAAACGAUGUCGACUUGGAGGUUGUUCCCUUGAGGAGUGGCUUCCGGAGCUAACGCGUUAAGUCGACCGCCUGGGGAGUACGGCCGCAAGGUUAACACUCAAAUGAAUUGACGGGGGCCCGCACAAGCGGUGGAGCAUGUGGUUUAAUUCGAUGCAACGCGAAGAACCUUACCUACUCUUGACAUCCAGAGAACUUAGCAGAGAUGCUUUGGUGCCUUCGGGAACUCUGAGACAGGUGCUGCAUGGCUGUCGUCAGCUCGUGUUGUGAAAUGUUGGGUUAAGUCCCGCAACGAGCGCAACCCUUAUCCUUUGUUGCCAGCGAUUCGGUCGGGAACUCAAAGGAGACUGCCAGUGAUAAACUGGAGGAAGGUGGGGAUGACGUCAAGUCAUCAUGGCCCUUACGAGUAGGGCUACACACGUGCUACAAUGGCAUAUACAAAGAGAAGCGACCUCGCGAGAGCAAGCGGACCUCAUAAAGUAUGUCGUAGUCCGGAUUGGAGUCUGCAACUCGACUCCAUGAAGUCGGAAUCGCUAGUAAUCGUGGAUCAGAAUGCCACGGUGAAUACGUUCCCGGGCCUUGUACACACCGCCCGUCACACCAUGGAGUGGGUUGCAAAAGAAGUAGGUAGCUUAACCUUCGGG
rnacentral:rRNA from 1 species